rnacentral:rRNA from 1 species
UUGGCCUACGGGGGGCAGCAGUGGGGAAUAUUGCACAAUGGGGGAAACCCUGAUGCAGCGACGCCGCGUGAGCGAUGAAGAAUUUCGGUAUGUAAAGCUCUAUCAGCAGGGAAGAAAAUGACGGUACCUGACUAAGAAGCCCCGGCUAACUACGUGCCAGCAGCCGCGGUAAUACGUAGGGGGCAAGCGUUAUCCGGAUUUACUGGGUGUAAAGGGGGCGCAGACGGCGAUGCAAGCCAGGAGUGAAAGCCCGGGGCGCAACACCGGGACUGCGCUUGGAACUGCGUGGCUGGAGUGCAGGGGGG